rnacentral:rRNA from 1 species
GCGCGAAAGCCUGAUCCAGCAAUGCCCGCGUGCAGGAUGAAGGCCUUCGGGUUGUAAACUGCUUUUGUACGGAACGAAAAGACUCUGGUUAAUACCUGGGGUUCAUGACGGUACCGUAAGAAUAAGCACCGGCUAACUACGUGCCAGCAGCCGCGGUAAUACGUAGGGUGCAAGCGUUAAUCGGAAUUACUGGGCGUAAAGCGUGCGCAGGCGGUGAUGUAAGACAGAUGUGAAAUCCCCGGGCUCAACCUGGGAACUGCAUUAGUGACUGCAUCGCUGGAGUGCGGCAGAGGGGGAUGGAAUUCCGCGUGUAGCAGUGAAAUGCGUAGAUAUGCGGAGGAACACCGAUGGCGAAGGCAAUCCCCUGGGCCUGCACUGACGCUCAUGCACGAAAGCGUGGGGAGCAAACAGGAUUAGAUACCCUGGUAGUCCACGCCCUAAACUAUGUCAAACUGGUUGUUGGGAAUUCACUUUCUCCAGUAACGAAGCUAACGCGUGAAGUGACCGCCUGG